CCCCACUCUAAACAAUACCCCUUUCUUACACUAUCUAUAUGAAUAUUUCUAAUGUCUGACUAUUUCCUUUCAGUGUACUGAGGACUCACUAAUCUGCACUACCAGUAACAAAGUAAUCCGACAAUCAGACUGGACCCGGUCAUGUUAGAUACCAGAGGAAGACGAAAAUAUAAUUGAUUCUGUACUGAUGCAUGACUUCGCUCGGAACGCGGCAAGAAUUAACAAUGGAAGAAAAUACUACAGACGUGUUUAUUAACAAUAAAGUUAUUUUUGUUUUUAUGAAAUAGC
rnacentral:lncRNA from 1 species